UGAGUCAUUAAACAUGAGUUCUGAUUCAAUUGUAUGAUCAUGCGAACCAGAAUGUCUGGCUUGCGUGUCUGAUUUGUGAAGCUACGUGAACUAUUUGGUGCAGAAGGCUUUCCGUAUGCACCGAGAAAAAGUCUCGCGAAAUUAUUACCUCCAAAUGCAUCUCCACCCGCCGACAUUGAGCUAAAGCUGGAGAAGCUGCUCAAGUGCCCAACUCCUGUGCAUCCACCCUAUGCUUUGAUGAUUCACCAAGCAAUUGAGGAAUUAAAUGAGGAGGGCGGAUCAGAUGAGAAAGCAAUAUUGAACCAUAUUAAACUCAAGUACGAGAGCUUGCCUCUGGGACACACAAGUUUUCUGAGUUGUCAUCUAAAGAAACUCAGCGGGGAGGGAGAGAUUGUAUGUGUGUCUGGUGACCGGUAUAUGUCACCUCCAGAGGAAAAUGUUGCUGUCACUGUGGUCAAACAUAAGCAGGAAAACAAGGAAUCUGCAGAAGGAAGAAAUUGCUAAGAAGCACAAACUUCCUAGGAGUGAUGUGUCACAAUCUCCUGGGAAGGCGAAAUUCAAAAAAGAAAGAAGGCUCGGGCAGAAGGGAGCAGAAACUGGUGGGAGUUCUGAACGGAAGGGAGCUGUGGCUGAGCCUGAAGGGAUUGAAGAGCGAGAUCAGUUGCAAUAAGAGCAGAUUCAGUUGAAUGAACUGCCAAAUCCUAAGGUUCUAAGAUCCCCAAGCCAAGAGAAGAUACCAAAACUCAAAUUGAGUGAGGAGAUGGAUCAGGUUCGUCAAGAACAAGGGCGUCGACUUCCUGACAAGCAGAAUCUGGAAGGUGAGGACCCGGAAUAUGUUAUUGUAAAAAAGAAGAUUGAGGAAGAACCUCUACCUCUAGAUGUUUUGUUGAAACCCAGUGGGUUCCAAUGAUCGAGCAGCAAAAUCAACAAGAGGAAGUGCAGGCUGCAGUUACUGGACCGGAGUUCCUGUUGCAGGAAAUAGAAACAUAAAUAGAAGGAAUAGAGAAGUUGAUUGAAUCACGGAGGCCACAGGAUGAAGUAACCAGAGACCGAGUCAAACAGCAAGAGAAACCAUCUGAAGCAGGGAAAAACAUUGCUCAUAAUAGGAGGGAGAAAGUGUUCCUAUGAGCAAUCUGAUUACUUCUCGCACUUUUAAGCUUUUGAGGAAAGAUGAUUCUUCAAUUUCUUCAGAGGGAAAGGGCCCUGAACUGCUUAAGAGGAUAAAAGGGAUCAGAGCAUGCCUCUCUAAUAUUUUGAAACUGGUAAGCACACAGGACAGGUUGGCAAAUUCUAGUCUUGAGGUUCUGAUGGAAACUGAAGCUCCCGCAGACUGACAGCAAAAAUCAGAGGUCUGUGCUCCACCAGAGGAAGUCAUCAGCCACAGCACAGAAAGCUCAGAUUGCCUCGGAGUGAAGGAUGUCAUGCUGAUCGAGGCAAAACAGCAUAUUUAUCAUUCCCAUAAUUCGAAAAGGCCUCCAGAAUGUGCAGUGAUGACUCUCGAGAAUAUAUUGCAGAGGCAGGAAAAGCAACAAAGGCUUUCCAAGCAACGAGAUGUUGAGAAUUUUUACGGUACUUCUUCUGUGCUAUUCUCAGGAGCCUGUGGGAGAGCAAGGAUACAGGCUUCUCAAAACAUUAGAAGCAAAUUCUGCUGAAGGAGAGGCCACUACUUUGUUGUCUGUGGGGGGAAAUUCUUCUCUUGCCAUGCCUCUAGUGGCUUCCCUGCCAGCCGUAAAGGACAAAGAAGGAGAGGUCUGCAUUGUUUAGGGGGAGCAGCAAUUUCAUUCUCCAUGCGGAGCAGUUAAAGCUCCGGUAUUUCUUGUGAACGGGAGAAUGGCGAUCCUACUUUGCUGGGCAAUGAGCCCCAAAGGCCUGAUGUGUCAAUGACACAGAUUCAGUUGGGAAGUUUUGUGCCCCCACCUCAAAAGAAGCAACCGAACCUUGAGGGAAAGCAAUGGAACCUUGAGAUGGGUUGACAGGCGCAUCUUUAUACUAUGAAUGGGCUGAAACUUCAACCUGGUGGAUGGUUUGCUGCAGACCGAUGAGGAGCAUCAAGAACUUUUGGCACAAGAUUUGAACCCAGAAAGGGUGAAACGACAUAGAAGGCUGCUGACUCGUGGUCAGCAUGAGAAGUUUGCAUCUGAAGCAAAUGCUAUACAGAUGUUAACUGCAGAGUCCUUGCCCUUAAUAAAUCCCGAGCAGACAGAACAUCAGAGAAGGCCGGUGACUCAUGGGCAGCAUGAACAGGUUGGGAUUGGAACAAAUGCUAUGCCUGUGUUAACCUCCUCACCUCUAACAAAUCGGGAGCAGAGAGGGUGGUAUAGAAAACCAAGGACCCAUCGGCCCCGUCUUUCUCUGUCCGAAGCAACAGUAUCAACUUUAUCCUCUGCUUUGCAGAUAAGAGUGGUCUCCCAAGAUAUAGCGCAGCGGCAGCUGUCACCGGUAUUAUUGCAAAUGCAUAGACCAUUAUCUUCCAAUGCUGAGUUGCCAGGUGAGCAUCAACAGCCGGAGCAGUAGUUAUCGGAGUUCUCAGGGACCGAAAGUUCUUCGUUGAAACUGCCGAUAUUGGGUGGGAGAAAGCUAAAGCCGUUGAAGCCAGCUGAACUGGAAGAGCUAGAGGAGUCUGAAGAGUUGCUAACACCUCUUCGGACUCCUACAAAGUUGUCCUUUGGUGGUCUCAAUUCACAGUCUUACAGGUCAAAACUGCGGCCCCGGACCAGCUUCAGACAGGAGAGUGACAAGGCAGUCAGGAUACGAGCAGAGAGAAAAGCAGAAGCCCAUUCGUUUCGGAAGGCCUCCAAAACUGGAAAUGGAUGGUGGAGAACAGUCGGCUUCCAGUUAGAAGCAUCUCGGAAGGCCACCCAAACCAAAGCCUGAUGCAGGAGAGGGGUCAUCUUUCAUUCAGAAACAGCAGGGAAGACCUCGUAAGCAAAAACCAGAUGCUGAUGCUGCUGCUAUCAGUAUAGAGACUGGCUCAGCUUCCCCCAGCCCUCAAAAGCCGCGCCAAGGGGGGCCUCCUAUACAGAAACCAGCUCUUGCUACAGCUGCCGAGGAACCAAAGCCUCUGCUGUAGCUUAGAAGCUUUUGUCUCAGUGACAUGGAAAUGCGAUCAAAUGGAUGCUCAAAUGAGGGAAAUUUUUUUUUUUUCUUGUUUUGACAUAUUGCUCUGGGAAUGGUAACUACAAAGUUGCUUUGGCUUGUCGCAGAUAUUGUUCAGGUAAUAGUUGUCUUUUGAUCUGAGGAAAAACUCAUGCUACAGUGAUACUCGAAUAGUUUCCCUUAAGCAUGGCAUAAUUUCAUUCUCCACCUUAAGGUUUCCCACUUUUCAUGUCUCAAUAGAUACCUCUGCUGUGACAUUUGUGUAAUUUCUUGCUAGCUUCUCAGUAAUAUCAGGUGCACUCGAUGUGUCUCCUCACCUUCACAGUA